UGGGGAAUAUUGGACAAUGGAGGAAACUCUGAUCCAGCAAUUCUGUGUGUGUGAAGAAGGUUUUAGGACUGUAAAACACUUUUAGUAGGGAAGAAAAAAAUGACGGUACCUACAGAAGAAGCCACGGCUAAAUACGUGCCAGCAGCCGCGGUAAUACGUAUGUUGCGAGCGUUAUCCGGAAUUAUUGGGCUUAAAGGGCAUCUAGGCGGUAAGACAAGUUGAAGGUGAAAACCUGUGGCUCAACCAUAGGCUUGCCUACAAAACUGUUGAACUAGAGUACUGGAAAGGUGGGUGGAACUACACGAGUAGAGGUAAAAUUCGUAGAUAUGUGUAGGAAUGCCGAUGAUGAAGAUAACUCACUGGACAGAAACUGACGCUGAAGUGCGAAAGCUAGGGGAGCAAACAGG
rnacentral:rRNA from 1 species